GCCAGAGCUGUCACAGUAUGUAACACUCAGCCAGAGGGCAAGGAGACGAAGAGAGCUGGAGAGGGUGCAUCAGGAAUGAGUUCUGGUGAUUUUAUGAAGAUAUGUACUACUAACUAAUCAGGGACGGCACCGCAUCUGCAUCUUACAGUGUAACAAUAUUUUUUUUCAAAAACACUGCAGAAUUGGACUUCACCUAUAGCAGUCGCCUUUUCCGGGUGUCUUCCAGUACUCAGAAAUCAACAAGACUUUCAGCAGGGCUGAAUUGUAGAACAACUGGAUGUUCGCAAGCAUAAUAUGAUGAAGCACGUAUCAACCCUGGCAGAUCUGUCCCUGAACACAAGUCCUAACAUUAACAUCACUGACCAUCAUAUCUAACCACUGAAACCCUACUCUGCAAUACUGACCCUAAGGGACUCAGAAGUUGACCUAUUCACUUCAAUGGGGCCACAAAAGAUGCAAACAGGACACCGUGUGCUGUCCGCAUCCAUACUUCCAUCCCGUGGCCCCGCAAAAAAAGCUAGAACAUUUCCUAUUCUUGUCUGCAAUGGCAGACAAGAAUAGGCAUUUCUAUCAUAGGGCUGGCCAGUAUCUGUGUUUUGCGGAUCCGCCUUAACGAGCCCUAAGACAACAACUGAGGAACUCCAGGACCCGGUGACAAGAGGCAAACAAGAAAAAGCUAACUGCAAACACAAGACUCAGAAACAGGACCCAAAAAGGAUACUCAGAGGAAACAAGAGCUAUACCGGAUACACGUGCAGAGCUUACGCUAUCACCAGCAUGAGAACAGCAGACUAAAAAUAUUUAAAGGAAAGCGAUCCAAUCAGUAACUUCUUCCCAAAUGAGCUUGGCCUGCAUCAGAGAUUAGCUGACCACAGUAAAUGGAUCCGCUGCAAUUCAGUUGCAUUGCAACCACCCCAAACAUAUUAAUAAACAGGUCGUAAAAGCAGUUCAACCAGUGAGAAUAUUGUAAUGGCUCUCAUUUUAUUUUUAUAUUUCAAACAUUCUUAACUUACAUUAAUGGGGACAUUUGUUAAGUUUUCUUUUCCAUCUCCCUGUUUCAUUUCUGUUUAGCUCUGCCAAACUUGGUGAUGUGUGACUGUCACUGUCCCCUUGCAUAUUUAAGGGAUUUUCUGGAAUCAGAAUACUGUUGGCCUAUGCUCAGGACAGGCCAUCAAAAAUAUCAGAUCGGUGGGGGGGUCUGAUUCGUGGCGCUCCCACAAAUAAGCUGUUUUAAGGGGACACAGUGCUCCCAGUAUAGAAACCCUUAAUUCAUUUUUGAUUUGUUAUUUUGCUUGGAAAAUAUCCUAAGAAAUUUACCCCU